UGUGAACCGAACAUGCCUCAAAAACAC
rnacentral:piRNA from 1 species